AUGCUUGUUUUAGCAGCACAUACACUAAAUCUGAAUCCAUACAAAGAUUUACAUGGCUGAAGGAUGAUAUGCAAAUUUGUGAAUCAUUCCAUGUUUUU
ensembl:snRNA U6 U6 spliceosomal RNA